GAUAAUCAUGGAGUAUAAAAAUUAAAUUUAAUAAAUUUAAUAUAACUAUUAAUAGAAUUAGGUUACUAAUAAAUUAAUAACAAUUAAUUUUAAAACCUAAAGGUAAACCUUUAUAUUAAUAAUGUUUUUUUUUUAUUUUUAUAAUUAAGAAUAAUUAUUAAUAAUAAUAAACUAAGUGAACUGAAACAUCUAAGUAACUUAAGGAUAAGAAAUCAACAGAGAUAUUAUGAGUAUUGGUGAGAGAAAAUAAUAAAGGUCUAAUAAGUAUUAUGUGAAAAAAAUGUAAGAAAAUAGGAUAACAAAUUCUAAGACUAAAUACUAUUAAUAAGUAUAGUAAGUACCGUAAGGGAAAGUAUGAAAAUGAUUAUUUUAUAAGCAAUCAUGAAUAUAUUAUAUUAUAUUAAUGAUGUACCUUUUGUAUAAUGGGUCAGCAAGUAAUUAAUAUUAGUAAAACAAUAAGUUAUAAAUAAAUAGAAUAAUAUAUAUAUAUAAAAAAAUAUAUUAAAAUAUUUAAUUAAUAUUAAUUGACCCGAAAGCAAACGAUCUAACUAUGAUAAGAUGGAUAAACGAUCGAACAGGUUGAUGUUGCAAUAUCAUCUGAUUAAUUGUGGUUAGUAGUGAAAGACAAAUCUGGUUUGCAGAUAGCUGGUUUUCUAUGAAAUAUAUGUAAGUAUAGCCUUUAUAAAUAAUAAUUAUUAUAUAAUAUUAUAUAAAUAUUAUAUAAAGAAUGGUACAGCAAUUAAUAUAUAUUAGGGAACUAUUAAAGUUUUAUUAAUAAUAUUAAAUCUCGAAAUAUUUAAUUAUAUAUAAUAAAGAGUCAGAUUAUGUGCGAUAAGGUAAAUAAUCUAAAGGGAAACAGCCCAGAUUAAGAUAUAAAGUUCCUAAUAAAUAAUAAGUGAAAUAAAUAUUAAAAUAUUAUAAUAUAAUCAGUUAAUGGGUUUGACAAUAACCAUUUUUUAAUGAACAUGUAACAAUGCACUGAUUUAUAAUAAAUAAAAAAAAUAAUAUUUAAAAUCAAAUAUAUAUAUAUUUGUUAAUAGAUAAUAUACGGAUCUUAAUAAUAAGAAUUAUUUAAUUCCUAAUAUGGAAUAUUAUAUUUUUAUAAUAAUAAUAAAAAUAUAAAUACUGAAUAUCUAAAUAUUAUUAUUACUUUUUUUUUAAUAAUAAUAAUAUGGUAAUAGAACAUUUAAUGAUAAUAUAUAUUAGUUAUUAAUUAAUAUAUGUAUUAAUUAAAUAGAGAAUGCUGACAUGAGUAACGAAAAAAAGGUAUAAACCUUUUCACCUAAAACAUAAGGUUUAACUAUAAAAGUACGGCCCCUAAUUAAAUUAUAUAAGAAUAUAAAUAUAUUUAAGAUGGGAUAAUCUAUAUUAAUAAAAAUUUAUCUUAAAAUAUAUAUAUUAUUAAUAAUUAUAUUAAUUAAUUAAUAAUAUAUAUAAUUAUAUUAUAUAUUAUAUUUUUAUAUAUAAUAUAUAUAAUAUAAACUAAUAAAGAUCAGGAAAUAAUUAAUGUAUACCGUAAUGUAGACCGACUCAGGUAUGUAAGUAGAGAAUAUGAAGGUGAAUUAGAUAAUUAAAGGGAAGGAACUCGGCAAAGAUAGCUCAUAAGUUAGUCAAUAAAGAGUAAUAAGAACAAAGUUGUACAACUGUUUACUAAAAACACCGCACUUUGCAGAAACGAUAAGUUUAAGUAUAAGGUGUGAACUCUGCUCCAUGCUUAAUAUAUAAAUAAAAUUAUUUAACGAUAAUUUUAUUAAAUUUAGGUAAAUAGCAGCCUUAUUAUGAGGGUUAUAAUGUAGCGAAAUUCCUUGGCCUAUAAUUGAGGUCCCGCAUGAAUGACGUAAUGAUACAACAACUGUCUCCCCUUUAAGCUAAGUGAAAUUGAAAUCGUAGUGAAGAUGCUAUGUACCUUCAGCAAGACGGAAAGACCCUAUGCAGCUUUACUGUAAUUAGAUAGAUCGAAUUAUUGUUUAUUAUAUUCAGCAUAUUAAGUAAUCCUAUUAUUAGGUAAUCGUUUAGAUAUUAAUGAGAUACUUAUUAUAAUAUAAUGAUAAUUCUAAUCUUAUAAAUAAUUAUUAUUAUUAUUAUUAAUAAUAAUAAUAUGCUUUCAAGCAUAGUGAUAAAACAUAUUUAUAUGAUAAUCACUUUACUUAAUAGAUAUAAUUCUUAAGUAAUAUAUAAUAUAUAUUAUAUAUAUAUUAUAUAUAAUAUAAGAGACAAUCUCUAAUUGGUAGUUUUGAUGGGGCGUCAUUAUCAGCAAAAGUAUCUGAAUAAGUCCAUAAAUAAAUAUAUAAAAUUAUUGAAUAAAAAAAUAAUAUAUAUUAUAUAUAUUAAUUAUAAAUUGAAAUAUGUUUAUAUAAAUUUAUAUUUAUUGAAUAUAUUUUAGUAAUAGAUAAAAAUAUGUACAGUAAAAUUGUAAGGAAAACAAUAAUAACUUUCUCCUCUCUCGGUGGGGGUUCACACCUAUUUUUAAUAGGUGUGAACCCCUCUUCGGGGUUCCGGUUCCCUUUCGGGUCCCGGAACUUAAAUAAAAAUGGAAAGAAUUAAAUUAAUAUAAUGGUAUAACUGUGCGAUAAUUGUAACACAAACGAGUGAAACAAGUACGUAAGUAUGGCAUAAUGAACAAAUAACACUGAUUGUAAAGGUUAUUGAUAACGAAUAAAAGUUACGCUAGGGAUAACAGGGUAAUAUAACGAAAGAGUAGAUAUUGUAAGUUAUGUUUGCCACCUCGAUGUCGACUCAACAUUUCCUCUUGGUUGUAAAAGCUAAGAAGGGUUUGACUGUUCGUCAAUUAAAAUGUUACGUGAGUUGGGUUAAAUACGAUGUGAAUCAGUAUGGUUCCUAUCUGCUGAAGGAAAUAUUAUCAAAUUAAAUCUCAUUAUUAGUACGCAAGGACCAUAAUGAAUCAACCCAUGGUGUAUCUAUUGAUAAUAAUAUAAUAUAUUUUAUAAAAAUAAUACUUUAUUAAUAUAUUAUCUAUAUUAGUUUAUAUUUUAAUUAUAUAUUAUCAUAGUAGAUAAGCUAAGUUGAUAAUAAAUAAAUAUUGAAUACAUAUUAAAUAUGAAGUUGUUUUAAUAAGAUAAUUAAUCUGAUAAUUUUAUACUAAAAUUAAUAAUUAUAGGUUUUAUAUAUUAUUUAUAAAUAUAAUAUAAUAAUUAUUAUUAUUAAUAAAAAAAAUAUUAAUUAUA
rnacentral:rRNA from 1 species